UUUUAGCUAGUAUCUGUCAAGUGGUAAACAGUCAGUCUGUAAAGAAAUACUAACUGAUAUUAAGCAUGAAAUUGGAGUUAAAGCUUUAUUUCCUUCAAUUUAUUUGAGUAGAGUGUAUUAAUGUACUUUAACUUGGUGUUUAUUGGCUCCCUGCUGUUAUUCUGUGGUACUGCUCUGCUAGCUACGUAGCUACGAUAGCUACACUGCACUGAGACAGUACAGAGGCACCCUCCUCAGCUAUGUGGACAAGAAUGAGAAUCUGAGACACAUUGAGAACCAAGGAACCCAACUGUUACGGCUGAACAACUGAUUCAGAACAUUUCCAUAACAUCAGACAGGGCUUGUGUGGUGUUCCCAGUAUGCAGAGGCCCCUGGCUGGUGGUCCUCAAACUAUCACUGGACUCCAGAGCAGUGGAGAUGUGUUGGCUGGAGUGAUGAAUCAUGCUUCUCCUUCUAGAUAUCUGAUGGAUGAAUCUGGGUUUGGUGGUUGCCAGGAGAACGAUGGAUUUCUGACUGUGUUGUGGGCAAGUGUAAAGUUUGGUGGAGGGGGGAUCAUUAUUAUUGUGGCGUUGGGUUGUUUUCCAGGAGUUGGGAUUGACUCCUUUGUUCCAGUGAAAGGAACUCUUAAUGCUUUAG